rnacentral:rRNA from 1 species
ACGGGUGAGUAACACGUGGGCAACCUGCCCUUGAGACUGGGAUAACUUCGGGAAACCGGAGCUAAUACCGGAUAAUAUAAGGAACCUCCUGGUUCCUUGUUGAAAGAUGGUUUCGGCUAUCACUUAAGGAUGGGCCCGCGGCGCAUUAGCUAGUUGGUGAGGUAACGGCUCACCAAGGCGACGAUGCGUAGCCGACCUGAGAGGGUGAUCGGCCACACUGGGACUGAGACACGGCCCAGACUCCUACGGGAGGCAGCAGUAGGGAAUCUUCCACAAUGGACGAAAGUCUGAUGGAGCAACGCCGCGUGAGUGAUGAAGGCCUUCGGGUCGUAAAGCUCUGUUGUUAGGGAAGAACAAGUGCGAGAGUAACUGCUCGCACCUUGACGGUACCUAACCAGAAAGCCACGGCUAACUACGUGCCAGCAGCCGCGGUAAUACGUAGGUGGCAAGCGUUAUCCGGAAUUAUUGGGCGUAAAGCGCGCGCAGGUGGUUUCUUAAGUCUGAUGUGAAAGCCCACGGCUCAACCGUGGAGGGUCAUUGGAAACUGGGGAACUUGAGUGCAGAAGAGGAAAGUGGAAUUC